CCUACGGGAGGCAGCAGUGGGGAAUAUUGGACAAUGGGCGAAAGCCUGAUCCAGCAAUGCCGCGUGUGUGAAGAAGGCCUUCGGGUUGUAAAGCACUUUAAGUUGGGAAGAAAAAGCUCUGGCUAAUAUCUAGAGCCUUGACGGUACCAACAGAAUAAGCACCGGCUAACUCUGUGCCAGCAGCCGCGGUAAUACAGAGGGUGCUAGCGUUAAUCGGAUUUACUGGGCGUAAAGCGUGCGUAGGCGGUUUGAUAAGUCGAUUGUGAAAGCCCCGGGCUUAACCUGGGAAUUGCAGUUGAUACUGUCAGACUAGAAAACGGUAGAGGGAGGCGGAACUCCAGGUGUAGCGGUGAAAUGCGUAGAUAUCUGGAAGAACACCGAUGGCGAAGGCAACCUCCUGGGCCUGUUUUGACGCUGAGGCACGAAAGCGUGGGUAGCAAACAGGAUUAGAUACCCUGGUAGUCCACGCCGUAAACGAUGAGAACUUGACGUUGGUUUGCUUAGCAAAUCGGUGUCGUAGCUAACGCGAUAAGUUCUCCGCCUGGGGAGUACGGCCGCAAGGUUGAAACUCAAAGAUAGUGGCGUGAGAGAGCGACGACGACGACGACGGAGGAGGAGG
rnacentral:rRNA from 1 species